UGUCCAUGAGGAGUAAAAAGGGCUGAACCUAAUACAACUAUGUAGUUAGUUAGUUAAGUUUCAAGAGAGCAAUUAGUAGCAAUAUCUAGUAGGUAGUUAGGGGCUAAGUGUUAGGGUGGCUGCUAGGGGCCACUGAAGGAGCCAUUUAGGGAGCUAUGAUCUGUUUCAGAGGACUGAAAUAGAGCCAUAGUAGAGGCCAAAUAGGGGGCAAUGACAGAGCUGCCGGGAGGAAGCUCAGUCAAUAAGACUAGCUCUCAACCCCCAAAACAGUUAACCUUCCAUCAUAAUUUAAUUGUGAAGAAACUGCAUAGUGGUAUUGAGAGGGAGGGAGUGAGCUACGGUUGGAAAAGAAGAGGAGUAGAGCAGCAGACCACUUUUGUUUUUUUCCUUCCCAUUGUAGUCUAGGAAGUUAGCAAUCAAGCAAGGUAAAUUGCAAUCCCAUCUUGCUUAAUGUAAACUGUCCAUUUUCUUUUUAAUUUUCGAACUAAAUGGGAGCUGUGAUGGCUGUGAUGUUUUGUUUGAUAUAUUAUAGUUAUGUUGUAUUUGUUGUUGUGGUUAGUUUGUAUACUAUUAAUAAUCAAAAGCCAAAGGGUUAGUAAAAUAGCUAGAAAAAAUAGCUAUAAGAUGGAAACAAAUAGCUUGCAUGCCAACUGUCUGAUGAAAUGUACCAGUAAAGGCUGCUAUAGUAUAAAAACAAGCUAGCUAUGAAUAAUUAGAGUCCAAAAUCAUGACUACUUGCUUAUAUAGUAAGAUGAAUGCUUCAAGUAUGCUUCUAUGCUUAAGUAUAGCAUAUUUACAUAUGGUUUACAAACCAUGCUAGAUUUGUUAGGAGCAAAAAAAAGUCAUUUUUGACUGAUAUUGAAAGCUUGUUUUAGAACUGUUAUGUCAUGCUUUUAGAGUGGAAUUUAUGCUAUAAUAAGGUGUCUUGAAUACCAAACCCUGAAGGCUAAUAGUUGAGAAGUUAAAAUUUUAUUUCCAAGCCAAGAAAGGACUCAAAACAGGGCAGUCUGGGCCUGUUUGAAACAACCCAGAUCAGUCCUUGUUUUGAGAGCUUGAAUGUUAGCUAAAAUGGCUUGUUAAAGACUGUCAAGGUGUGAUCUAUUUUGAGCCAUUCGGGUAUAGCCUAAAUAUGUUAAAUGCCAUGAAAACAGUUUGUCUAAGCUUAUAUGUUGCAUAAUCAUGUUAUCUUGAUAACUAGGUUGUCAAACCAUGAUUCUUGUAGAGUUUUAAAGCCUAUAUAGGGCUGUUUUGGGAUAAAAAGCAUGAAUCCUUGCAUCCUUGAGUUUUAAACCAUGAAUACAAUCUAUAUAGUAAAUAUAUGUUGUGAGAAUGCAUAUAACUUGAGCUUUUGAUACUUGGAACUGUUAUGGUAGAGUAGAGCAAACUCAUGCUUAAUAUGCCCAAGUAUAGGACUAUUUUGGUAUUGAUGAAUGAGCUGAGUUUGCAAUCAUGAUAAAGUAUGUGGUACUGAGUUUUCAUGGUGAUUUAAGGAUAUAGGAAUUCUUAAAGGCCCUAUGUGUUCUAUUGUGGACUGUUUGAGAUUUGGUAGCUAAAACUGUGCCUAUAAAGAACUGUUAUGGUCUAUUUUAUCUACUCAUGUUAUAAAUCAAUAAAGUGUACUUACAUUGUCUACAUAUAUCAUUUAAAUUUUUUUCCUUAAGUUAGCUAAGGUUUAGGAGGUGUGUUGUUCAAGUUCAUGCUUAAAAACCAAUGAAAAUAAACUUUAAAUAGCAUUGAACACCAAAAUAAAGAACCACCAUACCUGGACAAUGUAUGCAAGUUUCAAUAGUCAUAAUAUGAUAUUAUUAAGCGACACAAGCUAAAUAAACCAAGCCUAAACUGUUUUGAGCAUUAGAUUUGUUAAAAAUCUCAUUUUAAACCCAAAAAUAGACUGUUUUGAGGAAAUCUUGAUACCUGAACUUAUAAGACUAUGAUGACCGUAUAUAAAUAAGCUAAUGAAUGCUUAUAAUGGUUCCCAAACUUUUCCAAGACCAAAGCUAGUAAGCAAACCAAAUAAAGAGCUAUUUUCAAGCCUAAAGUGAGUUUUGAUAGGUUUAAAUUGGCUAGAUAAUUAUAUAAAGUGAGAUGAUGCUAAAAGUAUCCUUAACUAACGAAAAUACACAUGCCUAGACUAUCCAAGUGGCCAAAAUGGAAAUUUUUGAAAAAAGUUCAAAAACAGUUUUUAUUAAAGUGAGAAAACUGUCCAGUUUGAGCCCUGUUUUUGGAAAGCUUAAUUAGCAUGAAAAAGAAGCCUAAAACUUGAUUAAAAUACCUUGAAGUAUGGUCUAGAAGUAGGGCCAAGUGUUUAAGUCAAGAGCUUAACCAAGAAAUUUAUAAAAAUCACCAAACUAGGUAGAAAAAUCAUCCAAACUGCAAUUUUGUAAAAUUUUCCAAGUGUAAAAUUGAGAUUUUUGCCAUUUUACUUAAAACUCAGUUUUGAAAUCUUAGGAAAGUGAGUUAGAGGUAUUCUAGGUUAUUCCAAGUGUUAGAAUGCUAAUGUAUGCAAGAACUUGAGAAAUUAGUAUGUAAAAUCUUAAAAAGCUAAGUUUAGAGGGUCAAAACCAAAUCUAUGCUUAGCAAAGUCAAGGGAAAUCUAAAACUAGUCUUCACUAGUAAUAAUUCAAUUGUUGGAAUGAAACCAAGAGGCCAGAAAUGAAAAUGACAAGAAUUGACCAAAGUUAGUAAACUAAAAAUUGUGGUGAACCACCCAGUUUGAGCACAAGUUUCAAGAAGCAUAAUAGGCUUACUUGAAAAUCUAAACCAACACAAAAAUAAUUUGGUACAUAUGCUAGAAGUAUGUCCAGAGUUCUUGUCCAAAAUCCUAAUACAAAAAUUCCUAAAAAUCAUCAAAGUUGCAUCGAAAUUCAUAAAAAGUUAAGUUUUCUUAAGAAACUGUUAAGAACAACCCAUUUGAGGCUUAUUUUUGAAUAGCCUAACUUUUUAGUUUUUAUGACCUAAACCAAGGAUAAAAUAAUUUGGUAUGGGGUCAAUAAAAGUGCACAAAUGAUAGUUUUAAAAAACUAUCAUAGAAAAUUCUAAAAAUCCUCAAAGGUGCCUCAAAAAUCAUAAUUUUGAGUUUUUAAAAUAUCUUUUUAAAAGUGAAAUUUAAGACUUGUAAAUGUCCUAGCAUGACUAAAUAAGUUAAUAAAAUUGUGUUAUGAUCUAAGCCCUAAGACAUGUUAUGUUUGGAUGAAAUCAAGUAUACUUUGGGAUAUGUUUGAACUAUAGAUGGGUUGUGUACUUAUGCGAGUUAAUUAUAAGAAAAGUGCUAUAUAUGUAUAUACGAAAAUGUGCAAAUGUGUAGUAAUGAGCUAUGUGCCUAUGUGUUACUAACUAUAGUUAGAAAUAAAAGCUAUCUAUAGAUCUGUUAAAUGUUAGUAAGUAAAUUAUCUGAAACUUAUUGAAUAUAACUUCAAUAACUAAGCUAUAAUAUCGACUUUGUACUAAAAGAUAACUAAGUAAACUAAUACUGGGUAUAUGUAGGCUACUCUAUGGCAAAACACUCUCUUAAAAGUGUAAUCGACGCGAGAGGCAAGUACAUCAACCUUUCUUACUCAAAUAAGUUUAUAUUGCAAGUACUUAGUUCAAUAGCUUAUCUUUUUAAGUUAUUGAAAUUAUUGAAUUGCAAUACUUCAGAUUCAAUUAUUCUUAUGAUAUUGAAAGUAUGUCAAUGCCAUUAUUUUGGCUAGAUAAACAUUGAGAUAUAUUGAUAUUAUUUAUUCAGGAAAAACUCAUUUAAUGUUCUCCAAACCAUUUUGUUGUGGUGCGAACUCUUAUAUAAUGUUGUGAACGAACAACCCUUUUAUAGGGGCAUACGAUACCGG
rnacentral:lncRNA from 1 species